GAUGGAAGAACGCAGUGAAAUGCGAUAAGUAAUGCGAAUUGCAGAAUUCAGUGAAUCAUCGAAUCUUUGAACGCACAUUGCGCCCGCCAGUAUUCUGGCGGGCAUGCCUGUCCGAGCGUCAUUUCAACCCCUCCAGCCACUAUGGCUGGGCGUUGGGGCACGACGGCCUCCCCUGGCGGUCGGCCCUGAAACGAAGUGGCGGUCCUGCUAGGAACCUCUGCGUAGUAGCCACACUCGCUUAGGAACUGGGUAGUGACCACGCCGAACCCCCUAUUUUUCUUAGGUUGACCUCGGAUCAGGUAGGACUACCCGCUGAACUUAAGCAUAUCAAUAAGCGGAGGA
rnacentral:misc_RNA from 1 species